rnacentral:rRNA from 1 species
AGGUAACCUACCCUAUGCUGGGGGAUAAGCUCGGGAAACUGAGAAUAAUACCCCAUAGUCCACUACGCCUGGAACGGUGAGUGGAUCAAAGCUCCGGCGGCAUAGGAUGGGCCUGCGGCGUAUCAGGUUGUAGGGGGUGUAAUGUACCCUCUAGCCAUCUACGCGUACGGGUGUUGGGAGACAUUGCCCGGAGAUGGAUUCUGAGACACGAAUCCAGACCCUACGGGGUGCAGCAGGCGCGAAAACUUGGCAAUGCGAGAAAUCGUGACCAGGGAACUCCAAGUGGCAGGGGUAAGACCCUGUCUUUUUCCGACUCUAAAUAGGUCGGCGAAUAAGGGGUGGGUAAGGACGGUGCCAGCCGCCGCGGUAAUACCGGCGCCUCAAGUGGUAGUCGCUUUUAUUGGGCCUAAAACGUCCGUAGCCGGUCUGGUACAUUCGUGGGUAAAUCAACUCGCUCAACGAGUUGAAUUCUGCGAGGACGGCCAGACUUGGGACCGGGAGAGGUGUGGGGUACUCUCAGGGUAGGGGUAAAAUCCUGUCAUCCUGAGAGGACCACCUGUUGCGAAGGCUCCACACUAGAACGGAUCCGACGGUCAGGGACGAAGCCUAGGGGCACGAACCGGAUUAGAUACCCGGGUAGUCCUAGGUGUAAACGCUGUGGACUUGAUGUUGGGGACGCUCCGAGCGUUCUCAGUGUCGAAGCGAAGGUGAUAAGUCCACUGCCUGGGGAGUACGGUCGCAAGGCUGAAACUU